AAAGCAGUUAGGUGCCCUACUCCCAUUGGUUGCUGCGGAUCGUUCACUCAGCUUUCAGAUCCCUGGGAUUGUUAACGGCUGCACAGGAGAAACCACUUAAAGUGCAGAUAGAAGGGUUGCCUGAUCCUGCUUGCAGGCUACGGGGCUCUGCAGGAAAGCAUGUGAUCUAUGUUUCAGAUAGUCUGCAGAAAGCCAUCCUAGAGCCAGGUAAGGAAGACAAAAUAUCACAGGAGAGAAGAUCUUAAGGGAGAUGAAGGACAUACAUUUGAGAGCUUCGCUUCGCAAUCUCAUCAUCAGUCCCACAGAAAGGAAGUUCUGAUAAUGGACUGCAGGAUUUGGUCUUGUGAAUGGUUCAGCACACAGCAGAGCAAGCACAGUAUGACCCACUUCGAAACUCCAUCCCCGCUUUUCAGCAUCGUGACAUGGUCUUUCCCCAGGCGAAAGCUACGCACUGGAGCGCCACACGCUAUGUUUGCAUCUAUCACCUCUAAAUAUAAUCAGCCAGCGCUUCUACUGGUGCACUUCAAAGUGGGUAUCAUUCAGUUCUGUGAGUGCUUUUUGGGUGAAAUUCACCUCUGUGUAGAGGCCCAGCACCAGGCCCAUGGCACCACUUCAGUCUCACAUAAACCCUUUUGCACAGGGGCGCAUUUGAUCCAGUGGAACUAAGGGCUGCAGCAACAUGCCCUCUUCAUCUAAGCUGCGAAUGAGAAGUGAAGAUGAGCUCUUCUACACCAGGCGAAUAGAGAGAACCUUGGGGCACAGUUAUACACUAAUUUCAAAGACUGGCAAGUGUGUGUGGAGGGAACUAGAAAGUUUCUACUGAAGUAUAAUUAAGACUGUUUUCAAGUGCAGUUGUAACCGUAAAAUGGAAGAGUAAGGGAGUUAAAAUGGAACCAUUUACAGAGCAGUAAAAGCUCUGCUGCAU